rnacentral:lncRNA from 1 species
UAGAUUUUUAUCUCUCAGUCUCCACUUUUCUGUCUCUUUCACACAGGAAAACAAAUUGCAUCAACUACUAAAAUGAAGCAUCCUGAACCAGCUGAGCAUCCAAAGUCACACACACUGAUUGGGGGAUGAACCAUGAAGGAAAACCACAGGGUACAGUUGCAUGGAGAGUGAGCUGCACAAUGAGUUGUUGAUACAAGGCACGGUGCUAAGCUCUGGGUGUAUGAAGAAAGGUAAGAACACAAAAACAAUCUCUACCCUGAAGAGGAAGACCCCUCUAUACAUGGACAGUUUCUUAAAAAAUGCAUCCAUAGAACUCCGAGUUCAGUUAUGCAAAGGCUCUGCUCAUUUUUCUGUAUAGGAACAAAGACAAAUAGUUAUUUAUCCUCUGCUUGGACACCUCCAGUAAUGGGACAAUCAUCACUCCCUAACAAAGCAUCUCAUUUUGUUUCUAG